GACAGAGGGUGCAAACGUUGUUCGGAAUUACUGGGCGUAAAGCGCGUGUAGGCGGUUGGGCAAGUCGGAUGUGAAAGCCCAGGGCUCAACCCUGGAAGUGCAUUCGAUACUGCCUGGCUGGAGUCCCGGAGAGGAUGGUGGAACUCUCGGUGUAGAGGUGAAAUUCGUAGAUAUCGAGAAGAACACCGGUGGCGAAGGCGGCCAUCUGGACGGUGACUGACGCUGAGACGCGAAAGCGUGGGGAGCAAACAGG
rnacentral:rRNA from 1 species